UCUCUCCUCUUCUUUCUCUUUUUUUAUUCUUUUUUUUUUAGCUCGUCCAUUAUGUGGACCAUUUUGCCGAGAUGAUUAGGGAAGCUUGGUGGAUCUUCAAGGAGGCCGAGGAGAAGGCCGCUCAGACCACCCGAAGGAUGGAUGAUGCCCAACUUUCCAAGCUGAAGACCAAGGAUGAGAACAAAUUGCUGAAAGCCGAAGUAAAGCGGCUUGAAUCUGAGCUUGUCAAGGCCCAAGCUGAUGUGGAAGCUUGUCUGUCCGCAGAAAAUAAUAAAUAGAAGAAAUUGGAGGCCGCUAAGGUCACUGUAGUCGAAGCCUUCCAUUCCUUGGCCGAAUUUUGGGAUAUCAAUGCGGAGUUCGGCUCAGCCUCAUAUCUGCAGGGGAUCAAGGACUUCAAGGAGAAGGUCAGAAUCAUUUUCCUAACCUCAACCUUGGACUUUUAGAAUCUAAUGGUGAGGAAAAGAAAGUCGAAGAGGUUGGAAACGAUGAAGUGUGAGUCAAAGACCUCUUUAGUCCGGUCAUGAAAAUCAAGCGAUCGAGGAUGCAACG
rnacentral:lncRNA from 1 species